rnacentral:rRNA from 1 species
GACGAACGCUGGCGGCGUGCUUAACACAUGCAAGUCGAACGGAAAGGCCCUGCUCUUGUGGGGUGCUCGAGUGGCGAACGGGUGAGUAACACGUGAGUAACCUGCCCUUGUCUUUGGGAUAACUCCAGGAAACUGGGGCUAAUAUCGGAUAGGAUCUCCUGCUGCAUGGUGGGGGUUGGAAAGUUUCGGCGGUAGUGGCUGGACUCGCGGCUUAUCAGCUUGUUGGUGGGGUAGUGGCUUACCAAGGCUUUGACGGGUAGCCGGCCUGGGAGGGUGACCGGCCACAUUGGGCCUAAGAUACGGAGCAGAAUGCUACGGGAGGCAACAGUGGGGAAUAUUGCACAGUGGGCGGAAGCGUGAUGCGGCGGCGCCGCGUGCGGGAUGACGGCCUUCGGGUUGUAAACCGAUUUCGCCUGUGACGAAGCGUGAGUGACGGUAAUGGGUAAGGAAGCAACGGCUAACCACGUG